AAUCACAGGACAAGAAAUGGACAACUUCUUUGAUCAAUGGUUAGAGGAGUACAAAAGAGAGAGAGAGUCUAAACAGCAAAACGAACGCGACAAAGUCCUCAUGGAUGUGCUGAUUUCCAUUCUUGAAGGUGCCUCCGAAGAGGAAUUCCCUGGACAUGAUCAUGCAACCAUAAUCAAGGCCACAUGUUUGGUAAACUUAUUACUUCAUAUCAUUAUUUUUUUUCAUUUAUACAUCUUUAAAGUUAUAGAAAUAUUGUACUACAUUAUAUUUCGGUGUUUAAAUAACAAAAUUAUCAUGCAUGCAUGUUGCUUAAUUGUAACAAGAUCCUUUUUUUUUUAUAGACUAUGGUUAUUGGGGGAUUGGACUCAACAUCUGUGGCUUUAACAUGGGCUUUGUGUUUGUUACUCAACAACCCAAGAACUUUAAAACUUGCGCAAGAGGAGAUUGAUGAGCAUGUUGGAAGGAAGAGACGAGUAGAAGAGUCGGACCUAAAAAACUUAGUCUACAUGGAUGCAAUCUUGAAAGAAACACUCCGUUUAUACCCACCUGGACAUCUCGGCCUUCCUAAGGAAACCUUGGAGGAUUGCAUUGUUCAGGGCUACUACAUCCCUAAAGGAACACGUGUGAUGUUGAAUCUUUGGAAACUUCAUCGUGAUCCAAACAUAUGGCCAAAUCCCACCGAAUUUCUUCCCGAA
rnacentral:lncRNA from 1 species